CAGUUCAGAGGGCUGGGUGGUCAGCAUGCUGCAGUGAGAAGGAAAGCUUUCUGAUUAACUUUCUCACAUUUCCGAAUCACCUGAAGAAGGGAGAGAAUGACAGUGAACGUACUGCAGCCAUGUGGAAGUGCUUACAGCAUCAUGCUCAGCUAUGUAACACAAUGAAUCAUGAAGGAUAUUUUCUCUGAAAGCUGGUGCAGCCCAGACCCAGCUAUAGGAAGAGAUUAGUUAGAAUCAGAAAUACGUGUGAUGGUCCUGAGUCUGCUGAAAGUACAAUCACUUCACUGUUAAACA